UACGGGGGGAGCAAGCGUUGUUCGGAUUUACUGGGCGUAAAGGGCGCGUAGGCGGCCACCGCAAGUCGGUUGUGAAAUCUCUGGGCUUAACCCAGAAAGGUCAACCGAUACUGCGGGGCUAGAGUGCAGAAGGGGCAACUGGAAUUCUCGGUGUAGCGGUGAAAUGCGUAGAUAUUGGGUGGAACACCGGUGGCGAAAGCGGCUCACUGGCCCGGUUCUGACGCUGAGGCGCGAAAGCGUGGGGAGCAAACAGG
rnacentral:rRNA from 1 species